rfam:Triticum aestivum genome assembly, contig: Triticum_aestivum_CS42_TGACv1_scaffold_570481_7AS
CUUGUACUCCCUCCGUCUGAAAAUACUUGUCAUUGAAAUGGAUGUAUCUAGAUGUAUUUUAGUUCGAGACACAUCCAGACAAGUAAUUCCGGACGGAGGGAGUACUUG